AUUGAACGCUGGCGGCAGGCCUAACACAUGCAAGUCGAACGGUAACAGGAAGCAGCUUGCUGCUUUGCUGACGAGUGGCGGACGGGUGAGUAAUGUCUGGGAAACUGCCUGAUGGAGGGGGAUAACUACUGGAAACGGUAGCUAAUACCGCAUAACGUCGCAAGACCAAAGGGGGGGACCUUCGGGCCUCUUGCCAUCGGAUGUGCCCAGAUGGGAUUAGCUAGUAGGUGGGGUAACGGCUCACCUAGGCGACGAUCCCUAGCUGGUCUGAGAGGAUGACCAGCCACACUGGAACUGAGACACGGUCCAGACUCCUACGGGAGGCAGCAGUGGGGAAUAUUGCACAAUGGGCGCAAGCCUGAUGCAGCCAUGCCGCGUGUAUGAAGAAGGCCUUCGGGUUGUAAAGUACUUUCAGCGGGGAGGAAGGGAGUAAAGUUAAUACCUUUGCUAAUUGACGUUACCCGCAGAAGAAGCACCGGCUAACUCCGUG
rnacentral:rRNA from 1 species